UACGGAGGGUGCGAGCGUUAAUCGGAAUUACUGGGCGUAAAGCGUGCGUAGGCGGCGCGUUAAGCCAGGUGUGAAAGCCCCGGGCUCAACCUGGGAACUGCACUUGGGACUGGCGUGCUGGAGUUUGGGAGAGGGGAGCGGAAUUCCGGGUGUAGCGGUGAAAUGCGUAGAUAUCCGGAGGAACACCAGUGGCGAAGGCGGCUCCCUGGCCCAAAACUGACGCUGAGGCACGAAAGCGUGGGUAGCAAACAGG
rnacentral:rRNA from 1 species